UACCAGGAACAAGGGAGAAGGUUGGCAUUCAACAUCUAUGUCUGAAAACACUCGGGGCGGCUUCGGUAGAGAGAUCAUCCGGCUCCUCACUGGAUUUCUACUUCACUUCCCAUUAUUUCUCAAAUCAUGAACGUCACCUGCUAUCUACACAGCAAAUCUCAUCACUGCCCCACUAUAUUCCCACUUAGGACACUAAUAUAACUCUGCUCCUGAAUUAUGUGAAAGUGAAGUAUGGGUGAUGACACAGGUACUGAUGACGAAUAUCCAAUCUUUUGUACUUUAUUGCCCCCAGAUGUGUUAAUAAUGGCAGCAGCAGCAGCAGCAAGUAGCCUUAUUGAGUGCUUACCCUGUGCCAGAUUCGUCUCCAAGCAUUUUUUAUAUAUUCCAAACAUCACAAUAGGAGCUAUUAUUGCCUCCAUUUUACAGAAAAUUGAGGCACAGGGAAAUUUGCCUAAGGUCAUACACGGAGACACAUGGCAAAACUGGAGCCCGUGCUCUGAACUGCUAUGGUGCACUGCCUCUUAACCCUUUGCGGUCCAAUGUUAUUUUUGGAAUUCAAACAGUUGGGUCCAAAUUAAUUGACGGGAUUGAAUGUUGAACUUUUUAAUGUUCUUAUUGCUCAACAUUGGACUUGCUCCUAGCGCCUGGUCUGUCGAGUCAGCCUCGAGGUUGGACCGAAAAGGGUUAAAAGACUGAAGAGUAUAGAAAGGUGAUUUAUAAAUAACAUCCCAUUCGAGCCAAAGCUCUCAUGAUAAUCUGAGUGGAAGAGCAUAGGUCCUGACGGAUGCAUCAGUCAGCAGGGGAAGGGAAUACAGUUUUGGCAGAGGAACAGCAACCCAGGGCUGUGCUGAGGAUAAUCAACUCGAUACUUUACUAUUUAAUAAUCUCAGUGGCAUCACAUUGUCGACUUAAAAAUCUGUAGAACAUUUUUUUGUGAUCAUAAAAAAACAUAGGAAUGUAGAUAAUAUAGGAAAUAAAAAAGUAAAUGAGUCACUUCUGUAUCACUACACAGCACUUUGGAGCUUCUCCUUCCAUUUUUAACUUUGUUUAACCCAACAGAACCUGAAACAAAAAUGCAAAUGCUGAAUUGGGUCUUACAGACUAAAAGGCGUAUCCUACAAACGUGUUAAGAGGAGAACAUUUUCCUAAAGUGCAAUGUUCUGGCUGCAAGAAACAGAAGCCUAUUUAAACCAGCUUUCUUCAUUUGAAAAUUGGGAUCAAAACAAUAUCACCUCUUGGAUCAUGAAGUUUAAAUGAGGUAAUAUAUGUAACAAAGCCAGCAGACUGUCUGAAAUACAG